rnacentral:rRNA from 1 species
CAGUCGCCACGGGAAUACAGAGGGUGCGAGCGUUAAUCGGAUUUACUGGGCGUAAAGCGUGCGUAGGCGGCUUCUUAAGUCGGAUGUGAAAUCCCUGAGCUUAACUUAGGAAUUGCAUUCGAUACUGGGAAGCUAGAGUAUGGGAGAGGAUGGUAGAAUUCCAGGUGUAGCGGUGAAAUGCGUAGAGAUCUGGAGGAAUACCGAUGGCGAAGGCAGCCAUCUGGCCUAAUACUGACGCUGAGGUACGAAAGCAUGGGGAGCAAACAGGAUUAGAUACCCCAGUAGUCCCUGUCUCUUAUAC